rnacentral:tRNA from 1 species
GGGGAUAUAACACAAUGGUAGUGUAUUACCUUUCAAUAAAGUUUAAGGGGUGGGUAAAGACUGUAGGUUCGAUUCUAACUAUCCCCA